GUCAAAUGGUGGCAAGCGGCGGAGGUAAGAAAGGGGUGUGAAGCGUGAAUAGGAUUUGUGGGGCGUAAAGCGUGGGGAGGUGGCUCGGGAAGGCGAGUGUGAUAGCCCUGGGCUCAACCUGGGAAGUGCAGUCGAUACUGGCGAGCUAGAGUUCGGUAGAGGGUGACGGAAUUCCCGGUGUAGCGGUGAAAUGCGUAGAUAUCGGGAGGAACAUCGAUGGCGAAGGCAAUCACCUGGGCCUGAACUGACACUGAGACACGAAAGCGUGGGUAGCAAACAGGAUUAGAUACCCCAGUAGUC
rnacentral:rRNA from 1 species